GGGGUGUCUCGGAAGUGACGACACAGAGCACGCCAUUAAAUAGCAAUAGGCCGCCCUCCCCGCUCUCUCGGUUUAGCGCCAUCUUCCUUGAGACUCCUACGCCAUGAGAGCGAAGUGGCGGAAGAAGAGAAUGCGCAGGCUGAAGCGCAAGAGAAGAAAGAUGAGGCAGAGGUCCAAGUAAGCCAGUUUGUGCACCCACGAAGCCCGCAGAACCAGAAGUAAGGGAUGCUGAGGGCCAAGACAUCGGAAUAAGUUGUUGGGCUGUGUGCUGCUGUCGGUAAUAAGUCUCCGUAGACCUGGAACGUCACCUCGCCGAGAUCAUCUGGGAAGAUGACUGCUUCUCUUACAACCAAAACUGGACCUUUGGCAUUCUGGACUAGUUCUGUUCUCUUGUGGCCAAGUGUAACUCGUGUACAAUAAAUCCUCUUGCUGUCAGCUGAAGAAUCAAA